UCACCACUCUGGCCUUAUGGCUUAGAUCAAGUGUAGUAUCUGUUCUUGAUAGUUUAACCACUAUUAUGGAGGCACGCCUCUUCUGGUUAUCCUAUUUUUGCCGCCUCAGAUCCGUGGGCUCUGCUUGCACCCCUUGGACGUGAUGACCUUGCUGCUGCAGAAUUGGCUAGCGUCGUCGGAGGAUU
rnacentral:snRNA from 1 species